AGCGAACGCUGGCGGCAGGCCUAACACAUGCAAGUCGAACGGACCCUUCGGGAUCAGUGGCGGACGGGUGUGUAACACGUGGGAACGUGCCCUUUGGUUCGGAACAACUCAGGGAAACUUGAGCUAAUACCGGAUGUGCCCUUCGGGGGAAAGAUUUAUCGCCAUUGGAGCGGCCCGCGUCGGAUUAGCUUGUUGGUGAGGUAAUGGCCCACCAAGGCGACAAUCAGUAGCUGGUUUGAGAGGAUGAUCAGCCACACUGGGACGGAGACACGGCCCAGACUCCUACGGGAGGCAGCAGUGGGGAAUCGUGCGCAAUGGGCGAAAGCCUGACGCAGCCAGGCCGCGUGAAUGAUGAAGGUCGUAGGAUAGUAAAAUUCCUUCAGCGGGGACGGUAAUGACGGUACCCGCAGAAGAAGCUCCGGCUAACUUCGUG
rnacentral:rRNA from 1 species